rnacentral:tRNA from 1 species
GGAGGUAUAGCUCAGUGGUAGAGUAUGUGCUUAGCGUGCUAUGAGGACCUCAGUUCAAACCCCAGCACCUCCA